CCCUUAGAUGUUCUGGGCCGCACGCGUGCUACACUGAUGCAUUCAACGAGUCUAAAACCUGGUCUGAUAGGGCUGGGUAAUCUUUUGAAAGUGCAUCGUGAUUGGGAUAGAUGAUUGCAAUUCUUCAUCUUCAACGAGGAAUGCCUAGUAAACGCAAGUCAUCAGCUUGCAUUGAUUACGUCCCUGCCCUUUGUACACACCGCCCGUCGCACCUACCGAUUGAAUGGUCCGGUGAAAUCUUGGGAUUUUGUUUUGUUUGCAUUUAUUUGUAUCGAGACGAGAGAACUUGAGUAAACCUUACCAUUUAGAGGAAGGUGAAGUCGUAACA
rnacentral:rRNA from 1 species